UACAGAGGUCCCAAGCGUUGUUCGGAUUUACUGGGCGUAAAGGGUGCGUAGGUGGCGCCGUAAGUCGGGUGUGAAAUCUCGGGGCUUAACUCCGAAACUGCAUUCGAUACUGCCGUGCUUGAGGACUGGAGAGGAGACUGGAAUUUACGGUGUAGCGGUGAAAUGCGUAGAUAUCGUAAGGAAGACCAGUGGCGAAGGCGGGUCUCUGGACAGUUCCUGACGCUGAGGCACGAAGGCCAGGGGAGCAAACAGG
rnacentral:rRNA from 1 species